GACGGGGGGGGCAAGCGUUGUUCGGAAUUACUGGGCGUAAAGGGCGCGCAGGCGGGCGAGAAAGUCUCUCGUGAAAGCCCACGGCUCAACCGUGGAAUUGCGGCGGAAACUGCUCGGCUUGAGUCCGGGAGAGGAGGGUGGAAUUCCCAGUGUAGCGGUGAAAUGCGUAGAUAUUGGGAGGAACACCGGUGGCGAAGGCGGCCCUCUGGACCGGUACUGACGCUGAGGCGCGAAAGCGAGGGGAGCAAACGGG
rnacentral:rRNA from 1 species